CAGGUGCUCAGGGCAUCCAGGGUAUCCUUGGUAACGCAGGCAUCCAGGGCUCUCCAGGCCUGAGGGGCCCGCCAGGGGACCCAGGAGUGCCGGGCAGAGAGGUACAUCAUCACGUAUUAGAAGUUUCUUCUAACUGGAGCUCGUUUGAAUCAGGUGAAAUUAAGACAGUGAUACUCGCUUGUUUCAUGUAUCUCUGCAGGGUGAACGAGGUAAAAGGGGGAGGAAUGGAUCACCUGGAGCUCCUGGACCUCGAGGGCAAGCAGGACCUCAAGGUCCUCCUGGUCUAUCUGGAGUGAAAGGAGAAAAGGGCGACAGUAUUCCUGGAGAGCCCGGUGCUCGGGGGUUGGCCGGCUUCCCAGGCAGAAGGGGUGAAACAGGCGUUCCAGGUGUUAAAGGAGUUCCUGGACAUCUAGGUCCAAAAGGCUUGCGUGGCAGCAAAGGUGAAAAGGUGAGCCGUUGUUUUUCAAUUUAUGACUCUUUUCAUAUGAAUCAUUCACUUAACCAAAAGUAAAUCAUUUUCAUUCAACUUUAAAAUUUUCAAAAAAUUUACUUUAUUUACGUGAAAGUGUAAAUAUUGCAAGGAAAACAUUUUAUUUGUAUAUGCCACGUACGGGUCAAAGGUGCGAAUGCUCAGUGGGUGGUCACUUCCACUUCCCCUGCCACGGGCUGCCAGAAAACUUACAGCUCAUGUCUGGUCCUUGUUGUCAGAAAGGUUGGGGACCCCUGCUGUGAGCCACCUGGUCCACCUCCUCCAAAGGUGCCCCAAAGGUUAAAUUAGGAUGAGGACUGAAUCUCUGCCACGUUGUCCUGCUGAAAUUCUAAAUUAAAAAAGGGGACGCUGUAGUAAAGCUGCAACGAUUAGUCGAUUGAAUGAAAGUAAAUUGCCAGUAACUUGAUUAAAUUUCAGUCAUUUUCAGUUUCAGUUGUUUUUUUUAAACAAAAAUAUCAAACAUGUGCUGGUUUCAGCUUAAAUGUCAUGUCUGAAAUGUCAUUUAUGACAGUUAAUGAAAGGCUUUUGGCUUUUGCACUGUUGGUUGGAGAUAAUAAGUUGUUUGUAGACGUCAUGUUGGGGUCUGGGAAGCUGUGAUGAGCAUUAUUCACAAUUUUGGAUACUUUAUAGAUUAAGGAUGCGUCUUGUUGCAACAAUUUUUAAUUAAAUGAUGCUCUUUUUUAUCAAAGGACCUAACUGAUGAUAACAUCACAGGUGUGAACCUGUGCUGUUGCCAGCUGGGAGGACAGAUGAUAGAUUUUUGGACCUGAGUAUCAGCAUGUUGUACUUGAACCUAUCUCAUGAAGCAGGACAC
rnacentral:lncRNA from 1 species